UACGUAGGGGGCAAGCGUUGUUCGGAAUUACUGGGCGUAAAGGGCGCGUAGGCGGCAUGGCAAGUCGGGAGUGAAAGGCCUAGGCUCAACCGAGGAACUGCUUUCGAGACUGCCAAGCUAGAGUGCGGAAGGGGCAUCUGGAAUUCCCAGUGUAGCGGUGAAAUGCGUAGAUAUUGGGAAGAACACCUGAGGCGAAGGCGGGAUGCUGGGCCGACACUGAUGCUGAGGCGCGAAAGCCAGGGGAGCAAACGGG
rnacentral:rRNA from 1 species